GACCGAGCGGAGUUGUGCGUGUCGCCGAAGGGGGGUGGGCCGGGGGAGGGGAGGUUCGUUCCGCGGAGCUGCAGCCAGAACCGGGACCAGAAAUUUCGUUCAACCCUAUCUGGUGCAUCUUUGGCAGAAAGUGAGGACAACACCAUUGUUCUUUGGCAUGGACACAAGUUCAGUGGGAACAUUAGAACUGACUGAUCAAAGUCCCGUUUUAUUAGGAAGCACAGCCAUGGCAACUAGUCUCACGAACGUAGGAAAUUCAUUUAGUGGCCCACCUAAUCCUUUAGUGUCUAGAUCUAGUAAGUUCCAGAAUUCAUCAGUGGAAGAUGAUGAUGAUGUUGUUUUUAUUGAACCCGUACAACCUCCUCCAUCUUCUGCACCUUUGGUUGCUGAUCAAAGACCCAUAACAUUUACAUCUUCAAAAAAUGAAGAACUACAAGGAAAUGAUCCCAAAAUUCUUCCUUCAUCGAAAGAGUUGGCUCCACAAAAGGGCAGUGUAAGUGAGACAAUUGUUAUUGAUGAUGAAGAGGACAUGGAAACAAAUCAAGGGCAGGAGAAGAAUUCCUCAAAUUUUAUUGAAAGGAGACCUUCUGAAACUAAAAACAGAACGAAUGAUGUGGAUUUCUCUAGUUCCACGUUUUCAAGAAGUAAAGUAAAUGCAGGAAUGAGUAAUAGUGGUAUUACCACAGAACCAGACUCUGAAAUUCAGAUUGCUAACGUCACAACCUUAGAAACAGGCGUAAGCUCUGUGAGUGACGGCCAGCUGGAAAGUACUGAUGGGAGAGAUAUGAACUUAAUGAUUACUCAUGUAACUUCACUGCAUAACACCAGCCUGGGAGACAGCUCUAA
rnacentral:lncRNA from 1 species